rnacentral:rRNA from 1 species
UACGGAGGGAGCUAGCGUUGUUCGGAUUUACUGGGCGUAAAGCGCACGUAGGCGGCAUAGUAAGUCAGGGGUGAAAUCCCGGGGCUCAACCCCGGAACUGCCCUUGAAACUGCUAAGCUAGAAUCUUGGAGAGGCGAGUGGAAUUCCGAGUGUAGAGGUGAAAUUCGUAGAUAUUCGGAAGAACACCAGUGGCGAAGGCGACUCGCUGGACAAGUAUUGACGCUGAGGUGCGAAAGCGUGGGGAGCAAAC